rnacentral:rRNA from 1 species
UACGAAGGGGGCUAGCGUUGUUCGGAAUUACUGGGCGUAAAGGGCGCGUAGGCGGUGUGUCGCGUCGGGAGUGAAAACCCAGGGCUUAACUCUGGGCUUGCUUUCGAUACGGGCAGACUAGAGGUAUGCAGGGGAGAACGGAAUUCCUGGUGUAGCGGUGAAAUGCGCAGAUAUCAGGAGGAACACCGGUGGCGAAGGCGGUUCUCUGGGCAUUACCUGACGCUGAGGAGCGAAAGUGUGGGGAGCGAACAGG